rnacentral:tRNA from 1 species
AACGGUGUGGCCGAGUGGUUUUAAGGCGAUGGGUUGCUAACCUGUUGGGCUUGUCCCGCGUGAGUUCGAAUCUCACCACCGUUG